AGCAGUCGCCGCGGUAAGACAGAGGAUGCAAGCGUUAUCCGGAAUGAUUGGGCGUAAAGCGUCUGUAGGUGGCUUUUCAAGUCCGCUGUCAAAUCCCAGGGCUCAACCCUGGACAGGCGGUGGAAACUACCAAGCUGGAGUACGGUAGAGGCAGAGAGAAUUUCCGGUGGAGCGGUGAAAUGCGUUGAGAUCGGAAGGAACAUCUGUGGCGAAGGCGACUAUCUGGGCCAACACUGACACUGAGGCACGAAAGCGUGGGGAGCAAACAGGAUUAGAUACCCCUGUAGUCCCUGUCUCUUAUAA
rnacentral:rRNA from 1 species